AUUCAGUCAACCAACACAUCUUGUGGAGAUCACAAGUACAAAAUUCCAAAUUUAACAAAUAUUUUCGGUCUCUUUUGGAUAACAUUUUUUAACGUUAAUUUAUUGUUAAGUGUUUUCAUUAGGCUUAAGCAUAAAGUGUCAUAGUAACAUGUUUACGGAGGGUGUCUAACAUGAUCUCGGCCGCCUGAUGCUGGAUUUAUACACUCAAAUACAUAAUUAUGUACAAGCGUUUAACUAUAUUGAAUUCACACAUGACGAACACUUGACGAACACUUGAAGUACACAUGAAGUCUUGAAGUACACGGAGCUGAAUGCAAUCACAUCAUAUGGAGUUACCAUGAAAGCAUAUAAACUUACACUGAUCUAACGACAAACUAUUUACACUCGAACGAGCCGGUUGAAGCUGAUGCUAUCACAUCAUACGAAUUUCCCAGGUGCGCAAAACAUACAUUAACAGACUUGGAGAAUAAAGGCUGCCCACAUGCAAAAAUCCCAAGUUAACAAAUUCACCGUCUCAAAAUCUGUUGUAACCUCGAUAUCAUGCGAGAAUGAAGGAGUUCUCAAUGAAGACUCGAUCCUGGCUUCCGCAGUGUAGUGCAGCUAAAUACUAUUAUCAAGUCUCAAUCUGGGCGAUCUUUUCUAGGCCGGAGAUGAACCAUUAGGAGGAGAUGGCCAUCUCUCCCUUCAAUAUUGGAUCGGAAAUGUACCUAGCUGCACCGCCGCCAGAACCAACCACCCAGUCUGCCCAUUCGUCCUUUUCCGGCACUAUUAUGUAGUCUACUUUAUGGCCAACUAUUUGGAAAAGACACUUAACAAAAAUACACUUGCCAACCCAGCAAA